UACGUAGGGUGCAAGCGUUGUCCGGAAUUAUUGGGCGUAAAGAGCUCGUAGGCGGUUUGUUGCGUCGGCUGUGAAAUCCCGAGGCUCAACCUCGGGUCUGCAGUCGAUACGAGCAAACUAGAGUGUUGCAGGGGAGACUGGAAUUCCUGGUGUAGCGGUGAAAUGCGUAGAUAUCGAGAGGAACACCUGCGGCGAAGGCGGGUUGCUGGGCUGACACUGACGCUGACAGCGCGAAAGCUAGGGGAGCGAACGGG
rnacentral:rRNA from 1 species